UAGAUCCUACGGAAUGGAGCAAUUUAAUUUAUCGAAUGCAAGAGGAUCCUGAACUUUUCGAGAAGUUCUAUAGGAACCAUUUCACAGAUAGUCCAAUGCGCGAAACUUACGACGCAAGAGACAAAAUGCGACUAUUAUGCGAGUUAAAAUCAGCAAAAAGUAGAGUCGGUUAUUUAUGAGUUUUGUGACGAUCUCGCUACAUAAGUAUGUAGAUUAGGUAUAAGUGGAAAAUUUACGUUAAUAGGAAAUUAAAUUAUUACUCGAUAUAAUAUCUUGCAAGGCCAACUUGGCUAAUAGCCGAACCAGAAUAAAACAUCACAAAUAAAUUUAUUUGCACUA